UAAUCUGCCCUUAGGUGGAGGAUAAUCUCGGGAAACUGAGGAUAAUACUCCAUAGAUCUAGGAUGCUGGAAUGCAUCUAGAUUGAAAGCUCCGGCGCCUAAGGAUGAGUCUGCGGACUAUCAGGUUGUAGUCAGGGUAAAGACCUGACUAGCCUACGACGGAUACGGGUUGUGAGAGCAAUAACCCGGAGACGAUAUCUGAGACACGAUAUCGGGCCCUACGGGGCGCAGCAGGCGCGAAAACUUCACACUGUGCGAAAGCGCGAUGAGGGAAUCCCAAGUGUUUGCUCGUAAGAGUAAACUGUUUCUUUGUUUAAAACGCAGAGAGAGUAAGGGCUGGGUAAGACGGGUGCCAGCCGCCGCGGUAAUACCUGCAGCUCAAGUGGUGAUCAUUAUUAUUGGGCCUAAAACGUCCGUAGCCGGUUUAGUAAAUGCUUGGGUAAAUCGUGUAGCUUAACUAUACGACUUCCGGGUAGACUGCUAAACUUGAGACCGGGAGAGGCUAGAGGUACUCCUGGGGUAGAGGUGAAAUUCUGUAAUCCUAGGGGGACCACCAGUGGCGAAGGCGUCUAGCUAGAACGGGUCUGACGGUGAGGGACCAAGCCCUGGGGCACAAACCGGAUUAGAUACCCGGGUAGUCCAGGGUGUAAACGCUGCUUGCUUGAUGUUAGUUGGGCUCCGAGCCCAACUAGUGUCGGAGAGAAGUUGUUAAGCAAGCUGCCUGGGAAGUACGGUCGCAAGGCUGAAACUUAAAGGAAUUGGCGGGGGAGCACAGCAACGGGUGGAGCGUGCGGUUUAAUUGGAUUCAACGCCGGAAAACUCACCGGAGGCGACGGUUACAUGAAGGCCAGGCUGAUGACCUUGCCUGAUUUUCCGAGAGGUGGUGCAUGGCCGCCGUCAGUUCGUACCGUAAGGCGUUCUGUUAAGUCAGACAACGAACGAGACCCUCAUCUUUAAUUGCUACUAGUAAGUUCGCUUACUGGGCACAUUAGAGAAACCGCUGGCGAUAAGUCAGAGGAAGGCGAGGGCAACGGUAGGUCAGUAUGCCCUGAAAUCCUCCGGGCUACACGCGCGCUACAAAGGCUAGGACAAUGAGCUUCAACACCGAGAGGUGAAGGUAAUCUCGAAACCUAGUCGUAGUUCGGAUUGAGGUUGAACUCACCUCAUGA
rnacentral:rRNA from 1 species